rnacentral:tRNA from 1 species
GGGUGUAUAGCUCAUUUAGUAGAGUGUCUGAUCCGCAUUCAGAAGGCGAAGGGAGCGAAGCCCUUUACAUCCA